UAAUCCAUUUUGUAUCGCUUCGCUUUUAACUCCGAGUGUUUCGUUUGUAUGGUCUCAAACUCAAAUGGCUGCUUCUGCUUCUCUCCAGAUAGGAAUCGGCCCUUCCGUUUCCUCCCACCAUUUCUCCGCCAUCUCCAAUGCUCUUCCUCCUCAUCGUCUCUUCCUCCUCCGCUCUCCUUCUUCUCCCCGCCGCUCCACCGGAUUCCGCUCCUCCCGCUCUCCUCUUCUUCUUCGCCCUCGCGCCUCCUCCGACGACCUCUCUCCCUCUCCAGGAGUUGAGAAUCUAGUAAUCAUCGGUUCUGGUCCUGCUGGAUAUACUGCAGCCAUAUAUGCAGCUCGGGCAAAUUUAAAACCGGUAGUGUUCGAGGGUUUCCAAGCAGGUGGUGUUCCUGGAGGGCAGCUAAUGACUACUACAGAAGUCGAGAAUUUUCCUGGGUUUCCGGAUGGAAUUACUGGUCCAGAUCUAAUGGAUAGGAUGCGGAAGCAAGCAGAGCGAUGGGGAGCUGAAUUAUUUCAGGAAGAUGUGGAGUCUAUAGAUUUAAAGAAUAGACCGUUUACUGUGCAAAGUAGUGAACGCAAGGUUAAGUGCCAUAGUGUAAUAUAUGCAACAGGAGCGACAGCAAAACGACUUAGGUUACCUCGUGAAGAUGAAUUUUGGAGUAGGGGAAUUAGUGCUUGUGCAAUUUGUGAUGGAGCAUCACCCUUGUUUAAAGGGCAAGUACUUGCUGUUGUUGGAGGAGGUGAUACAGCAACAGAGGAAGCCUUGUACUUGACUAAGUAUGCUCGUCAUGUUCAUUUACUUGUACGUAAGGAUCAACUUAGAGCUUCUAAAGCAAUGCAAGAUAGAGUUUUCAACUGUCCAAAUGUUACCUUGCACUUUAACACGGAGGCUGUGGACAUUGUUAGCAAUACAAAAGGGCAAAUGUCUGGCAUUUUAGUUCGAAAAGCUGAUACUGGGGAAGAAUCUGUGCUUGAGGCAAAGGGUUUAUUUUACGGAAUAGGUCAUUCACCAAACAGCCAGUUAUUGAAAGGCCAGGUUGAGCUUGAUAGCUCUGGGUAUGUGUUAGUGCAGGAUGGUACUGCAAAAACUUCUGUGGAAGGUGUAUUUGCAGCUGGAGACGUGCAGGAUCAUGAGUGGAGGCAAGCUAUCACAGCUGCUGGUUCUGGAUGCGUUGCUGCUUUAUCAGUUGAGCGCUAUCUUGUGAGCGAGAAUCUUCUUAUUGAGUUCCACCAGCCCCAAACCGAAGAGGUUAAGAAGGAACCAACGGAUAGAGACGUUCAAGAGGGUUUUGAUAUCACACUUACAAAGCAUAAAGGCCAGUAUGCUCUUCGGAAACUAUACCAUGAAAGCCCCAGGCUUAUAUGUGUACUAUACACAUCACCAACGUGUGGCCCAUGUAGGACUCUGAAGCCAAUUCUCAGCAAGGUGAUAGAUGAAUUUGAUCAAAAUGUGCAUUUUGUUGAAAUUGAUAUUGAAGAAGACCAAGAAAUAGCAGAAGCAGCUGGGAUUAUGGGUACUCCAUGCGUGCAGUUCUUCAAAAAUAAGGAGAUGAUCAGGAAUAUACCUGGAGUCAAAAUGAAGAGCGAGUACAGAGAAUUUAUUGAGUCAAACAAAUGAGGUUGUUAAGUUAUUGCCCUUCAUCUUCUGCCUUCAAUUUUGUUUCAUUUGUAUUAAUCAAUAAGCCAAGUGGAAAAAAUGCUUUUAAAAUAUUUCAUGUCCUGUAACAUUCAAAUUUUACAUUGUAGAUUUUAGAUACAGAGUUGAGAAAAGGGCAAAAAAAAAAAAAAAAAAAGAAGAACUCUUCAUGUGCAGAACAGGCAUUCAUUGGGGAGGGGAUGACUGCUUUGGUUCGUCCUCAAAUUCCUUGAUUGUAGUUUUUGGAUGAAUAAGCCCUCGUAAGUAUUUUCUUCACCACGAUAUGGACAUCGUACAAAUGUAGAAAAGAAAGCUCAUGGGUUUGCUGGAAUGCGGGUCGUUCGGGGGUGGUUGUGCGUGUGUCUAUCGUUCAUGGGAGCUUGUUUUGUGGGAUUUGUAGUGUAUGUCAGAUAUGAGAAAUCAAGCUUUCACUCGAAAUCAAGCUUGUUUUCGCGCUCGUGUUAUUCAUUGUCCACUAGCUGAAGUAGCCACUCCCUGAGAGAAGACCAUGAACAUGAUGAAUUCAACUCUCUGAUCGGGCUCUUGUGAGUGAAUCGAUGUCCAAUCUUCGAAAUCAGAAGGGCAUCUUGGCAACGUUGAUGGUUAGUCCAUGGAUGUCAAUGGAACAGACCGCCCCAAGUUUGCAAUAAAUGGGUGAUUCAAAAGCAUGUUGAUCAUCCUUCACCAAGCAAUUUCUGAUAAAAUCUUUCCCUUCUUCCGAUAGAUCUUUUGGAAUCUUCGACAAUUCCUUUUGGAUCCCAACUUUGAUCUCUAGUGAUGGCCGCCCAAAGGUUUUAUUUUAUAUCAUUUGAAAAUUGCACACAAAGCUCUCACAUUUUUAAACAAUUCCUCCUUUUUCUCUUCCCAUUGUUUUAAUUAUAUAACAAAUUAAAUCACAAAUUGUCAUA